AUUGAACGCUGGCGGCAUGCCUUACACAUGCAAGUCGAACGGUAAGAGGCCUUCGGAUGCUGACGAGUGGCGAACGGGUGAGGAAGACAUCGGAACUCGCCUAGUAAGGGAGGAUAACUACUCGAAAGAGUGGCUAAUACCGCAUAAGAUCUACGGAUGAAAGCAGGGGAUCGCAAGAGCGUGUACUACGAGAGCGGCCGAUGGCGUAUUAGGUAGUUGGUGGGAUAAAAGCUUACCAAGCCGACGGUCUGUAGCUGGUCUGAGAGGACGAUCAGCCACACUGGGACUGAGACACUGCCCAGACUCCUACGGGAGGCAGCAGUGGGGAAUUUUGGACAAUGGGCGCAAGCCUGAUCCAGCAAUGCCGCGUGCAGGAUGAAGGCCUUCGGGUUGUAAACUCCUUUUGUACGGAACGAAAAGCCCCGGGUUAAUACCCUGGGGUCAUGACGGUACCGUAAGAAUAAGCACCGGCUAACUACGUGCCAGCCGCCGCGGUAA
rnacentral:rRNA from 1 species